GGAAUCGACAAGCAUAUAUAUUACUUAAUACUUAUGAGGUGCUAAAAUGUCGCACGGGAGUAAUAUCGAUUUGUUCUCCAGAAACGGCUAUAUGGCAAAGUCCAUAUCGAAAUUGCGAGUAUGCUCUUUUUAUGGGAUUCGAUACGGUGGUCACUCAAAUCUGCGAUAGACGAUUAGCGACCACGCAUCCGCCCGUUUUUCGAAGAUUAGAUCAGGAGGGAACGUGGAUAUACUCAACUGAUAAACCGUUAAGUUUAGUAGUUGAAUGUCCCCGACUAGCUAAUAUAAGGACACAACCACAACCUCAGAUUAUCAAAUUGUUGGGUACGAAUAUCUUUAAUUUACCAAAUUCAUGCACAGGUCAUUUAUCUGGUAUAAAAUUGACCGCUUACUUUCAACAAUGAUCUACAUUAAGAUUAACUAUUAAG
rnacentral:lncRNA from 1 species